rnacentral:rRNA from 1 species
CAUUCGGCGUGGAUUAGGCAUGCAAGUCGAACGGGAUUCUGUUGAUUCAAUCUUCGGAGAGAAUUUUCNGAUGAGAGUGGCGGAAGGGCGAGUAACGCGUGGGCAAGCUGCCCUUAAGUUCGGGACAACCCGCCGAAAGGCGGGCUAAUACCGGAUGUGGUUCCCUGGGGCAUCCCGGGGUGAUCAAAGGNGGGGAUUCUUCGGAACCUGCCGCUUGAGGAGGCGCCCGCGUGCCAUCANCUUGUUGGUGAGGUAACGGCUCACCAAGGCUUACGGCUAGCGGGUCUGAGAGGAUGACCCGCCGCACUGGGACUGAGACACUGCCCAGACUCCUACGGGAGGCUGCAGUCGAGGAUCAUUCGCAAUGCCCGAAAGG